UACAGAGGUCUCAAGCGUUGUUCGGAAUCACUGGGCGUAAAGCGUGCGUAGGCUGUUUCGUAAGUCGUGUGUGAAAGGCGCGGGCUCAACCCGCGGACGGCACAUGAUACUGCGAGACUAGAGUAAUGGAGGGGGAACCGGAAUUCUCGGUGUAGCAGUGAAAUGCGUAGAUAUUAGGAGGAACACCAGAGGCGAAGGCGACUCACUGGACUGUAACUGACGCUGAGGCUCGAAAGUGUGGGUAUCAAACAGG
rnacentral:rRNA from 1 species